UGCAAGUCGAGCGAGAAAGUCCCGGCAGCGGGAUGAGUAAAGCGGCAAACGGGUGAGUAACGCGUGGGUAAUCUACCCUACGGAUCGGGAUAACCUGCCGAAAGGUGGACUAAUACCGGAUGAUGUUCUUGCGGUGAUUCCGUGAGAACCAAAGGGGGCGAGCGUAAGCAGCUCUCACCGAAGGAGGAGCCUGCGUCCGAUUAGCUAGUUGGUGGGGUAAUGGCCUACCAAGGCGACGAUCGGUAGCCGGCCUGAGAGGGCGAUCGGCCACACUGGAACUGAGACACGGUCCAGACUCCUACGGGAGGCAGCAGUGGGGAAUAUUGCGCAAUGGGCGAAAGCCUGACGCAGCGACGCCGCGUGGGUGAUGAAGGCCUUCGGGUCGUAAAGCCCUGUCUGGUGGAACGAAACGCCUGGCGGCCAAUACCCGCCGGGUUUGACGGUACCACCGAAGGAAGCCCCGGCUAACUACGUGCCAGCAGCCGCGGUAAGACGUAGGGGGCGAGCGUUGUUCGGAUUUACUGGGCGUAAAGCGCGCGUAGGCGGCC
rnacentral:rRNA from 1 species